UUGAGAGAUCUGCUGCUUGAAGUCGUAAAAAGAUGUCUCCCCUCGCUCGUUUGUAUACUCCACUACUGAAAAACAAACUUCAUAAGCUCCCAGCAGCCCUCUCAUCUUUCUCCACCACCACCCCAAAUUACAAUACUACCGAUCAACAGACGAAUCGCCCUUUACCCCCACCAAUUCAAGUCUCUGUUACUGAAUCAGCUGGAAGAGGUGUGUUAGCGACUCGUUCUAUUGGAGCAGGAGAUUUAAUCCACACAGCUAAACCCUUGAUAACUCAUCCUUCCGUAUCUCAACUCUCCGAUGUCUGUUAUUUUUGUCUCAAAAGGUUACAUUCUGGUGGAGGAAGUAUUCAAGUUAAUGCCAGAUAUCAAACUAUUCAUUUCUGCAGUGAAGAUUGCAUUCAACAAUCAAAGGGUUUUUACGAAGUUGAAAAGCAGGCGGAUUGGUCAGCCUAUGAUGAGCACUGCAGGGUUCUAGGUUUAAAAUAUCCACAUCUUGUCAAGCGCUUGGCAUGUAUGGUUAUAUCAGGAGCAGCACCUGCAGAAAGUCUUGACAUUCUUCAACCUGCCGGGCUGAUUCCUGAGAUGAUUUUAGAGAUGGAGAAUGAAUUUGGCUUGUUGAAGAGCACGCUUACGAAAGCAGGCUUUAAGGACGCACAGAUGGAAUUUCUAACGAAACAGUGGUAUAUUGGUGUUUUGGCGCGUAUACGAAUCAAUGCGUUUCGCAUUGAAUUGGUUGGAGGAUCAUACGAGGAUCUACUUUUAUCUGCAGCAGCAUCUGUUGCCGCUGAAUCUGCUGUGGGAAAUGCUGUUUAUAUCCUUCCUUCCUUCUACAAUCAUGAUUGUGAUCCCAACAGUCACAUUAUAUGGAUAGAGAAUGUAAAUGCGAGAUUGAAGGCUCUUCGUGACAUUGAAGCAGGGGAAGAGCUUCGUAUUUGCUAUAUUGAUGCAAGCAUGGAUCAUGGUGCGCGACAAAACCUCCUGUUUGAAGGAUUUGGGUUUCAUUGCAAAUGCCCGCGGUGUCUAUCUGGUGAUUAGAGUUCACUUGUGGGUCUUGGUAUGGUUUUUGUCACGUGGUGUGAUGCUCAUGAGUAUCUCUAUUCCAAUCAGUUUACCUAGUCAUCAAAUUGUUUAAUCGUUAGACAGCAGAGUUGCAAACUUGAAGUAAGCUGAUUUGGCGAAGGUGAUCAACAUCAUGAGUGAGGAGAUGAGCUCCACACACAGCUAUCAGGGUGCAAUGUCCUUAUUUAUCUGGUCUUUGGUUCACAAAUCUUGCUCGUUUUUAAUUUCGUAAGGUGAGACUGAAGAUUAAAGAAAGACCCAUAUUAGUGAACCAUACAGCUUUGACCAUUUCCUAUAUCUCUAAAUAAAUCAUCCACACUAUUCUCCAACAAUACCCGGUCAAUUUGUAUCCAAACUUAGUGUACUAACAAUCAAACCUGUGCUAUAAAUUCAUCCCAAUUUUGUGCAGAAUGAAUAUUCAGUCAUCAAUUGCAUAUUUUCACUUUCCUUUGUGAUUACAAGAGAGAAAUCUAGAGAGUCAGAGAAAUAAUUAACGAAAAUGGCAGGUUGUACCAAAAAGAUGCUUGUGCUGUGUUUUCUGAUGGUGGUAAUGUUGAGUAGCAAUACAAUUGAAGUGCUUGGAGAUUAUGAUUCGUGCAUGGGUAUAUGUGUGCCUGAUUGCAAAAAACAGUACAGCGCUAAAAUUGGUGAUGACAUAUGCCCCAAGGCUUGCGAGGAAAAUUGCAGACAACAAAACCCGUGAUUGGUCUGAUUCGUUCAUCACUACUGCUGCCUAAUAUUUUGCUUGCUGAAUUAGGGAAUAAAUGAGUCUUUUGAGAGCACAUAUGGAGCUCCAAGUCUCACGUUUGGAUCAUCUAUUCAUGCAAAUUGUUUUAUAAAUUUUCGUGUUAAUAAAGAUGUAAUCAAUCAACCGGUGCAUGUCUCUGGGCAUGUAAUGUAUGAAUCCGUGUUGUAUAUGUAAUUCAAGUUUAUGCCUUAAAUGUCAUCGAAAUGUUUUGAUGAGAACUGUGUUUUAGUAAUAAAAGGGUUAAGUGAUGAAUCCUAUUA